rnacentral:rRNA from 1 species
CGUGUAGGCGGCUUGACAAGUCAGAUGUGAAACCCCUGGGCUUAACCCAGGAAGUGCAUUUGAAACUGUCUUGCUUGAGUAAGGGAGAGGAAAGUGGAAUUCCCGGUGUAGAGGUGAAAUUCGUAGAUAUCAGGAGGAACACCGGUGGCGAAGGCGACUUUCUGGCCCUAUACUGACGCUGAGACGCGAAAGCGUGGGUAGCAAACA